AUGCACCACAAAUGAAUAUAUGCUGCAAUGCAUAAAAUAUAAUGAAUAUCAAUGGCAGCUCUGUGGUGACUUGAAGGUUGUUGCUAUUGUGAUGGGCU